ACCCUCUUCUUUCAGUCUACUAGUGAACUACACCAUAUAAGAGACUUGAUCAACGAGAGGCGUCUCUAUGCUCUCCACCAUUAAUUAAACCAAUCCAGAAUAAUGCCCCAAUUCAUUAACCUCGCUAUUUUACACAUUCAAGCUCUCAACUAACUAACAUAAAGUAUGUUUCUGAGCGGGCGGAACUACACUUUCUUGCAACAACCCUAGGCUACAAGUCAAUGGUAUUGCACGCAUUAUAAGUAACAAGAACUAUACGUCUCUAAACUUUCGACCAAUUACUAAAACGAAGCUUAGAGAAAUUCAGAAUGCAUCAACUUGUUCACAUCCCUCUCCUUUAAACGUAAUGCAGCUCUCAACUAACCAACAUAAGG